ACAAACGCUGGCGGCGUGCCUAACACAUGCAAGUCGAACGAGAAAGGGACCUUCGGGUACUGAGUAAAGUGGCGCACGGGUGAGUAAACUAUAGUUAAUGUGCCUCGAAGACUGGGAUAGCCACUGGAAACGGUGAUUAAUACUAGAUACACCUCUUUAGCUCAAGCUGGGGAGGGAAACGUUUUUUCGCUUCGAGAUCAGACUAUAUCCUAUCAGUUAGUUGGUGAGGUAAUGGCUCACCAAGGCAAUGACGGGUAGCGGUUCUGAGAGGAUGAUCCGCCACACUGGUACUGAGACACGGACCAGACUCCUACGGGAGGCAGCAGUGAGGAAUAUUGCACAAUGGGGGGAACCCUGAUGCAGCAACGCCGCGUGGAGGAUGACGCAUUUCGGUGUGUAAACUCCUUUUAUAUGUCAAGAAAAUGACGGUAGCAUAUGAAUAAGCACCGGCUAACUCCGU
rnacentral:rRNA from 1 species